CCGUGAAAAAAUUAGAGUGUUCAAAGCAGGCAGAUCCAAUUUUUUUCCACCGAAUACAUUAGCAUGGGAUAAUGGAAUAGGACCCUGUCCUCCUAUUUUCAGUUGGUUUUGGCAGCGCGAGGACUAGGGUAAUGAUUAAUAGGGAUAGUUGGGGGCAUUAAUAUUUAAUUGUCAGAGGUGAAAUUCUUGGAUUUAUGAAAGAUUAACUUCUGCGAAAGCAUCUKCCAAGGAUGUUUUCAUUAAUCAAGAACGAAAGUUAGGGGAUSGAAGACGAUCAGAUACCGUCGUAGUMUUAACCAUAAACGAUGCCGACCAGCGAUUAGGAGACGUUGAAUACAAAACACCACCAUCGGCGCGGUCGUCCUGGCGU
rnacentral:rRNA from 1 species